AUUGAACGCUGGCGGCAUGCCUUACACAUGCAAGUCGAACGGCAGCACGGAGCUUGCUCUGGUGGCGAGUGGCGAACGGGUGAGUAAUAUAUCGGAACGUACCCUAGAGUGGGGGAUAACGUAGCGAAAGUUACGCUAAUACCGCAUACGAUCUAAGGAUGAAAGUGGGGGAUCGCAAGACCUCAUGCUCGUGGAGCGGCCGAUAUCUGAUUAGCUAGUUGGUAGGGUAAAAGCCUACCAAGGCAUCGAUCAGUAGCUGGUCUGAGAGGACGACCAGCCACACUGGAACUGAGACACGGUCCAGACUCCUACGGGAGGCAGCAGUGGGGAAUUUUGGACAAUGGGCGAAAGCCUGAUCCAGCAAUGCCGCGUGAGUGAAGAAGGCCUUCGGGUUGUAAAGCUCUUUUGUCAGGGAAGAAACGGUGAGAGCUAAUAUCUCUUGCUAAUGACGGUACCUGAAGAAUAAGCACCGGCUAACUACGUGCCAGCAGCCGCGGUAAUACGUAGGGUGCAAGCGUUAAUCGGAAUUACUGGGCGUAAAGCGUGCGCAGGCGGUUUUGUAAGUCUGAUGUGAAAUCCCCGGGCUCAACCUGGGAAUUGCAUUGGAGACUGCAAGGCUAGAAUCUGGCAGAGGGGGGUAGAAUUCCACGUGUAGCAGUGAAAUGCGUAGAUAUGUGGAGGAACACCGAUGGCGAAGGCAGCCCCCUGGGUCAAGAUUGACGCUCAUGCACGAAAGCGUGGGGAGCAAACAGGAUUAGAUACCCUGGUAGUCCACGCCCUAAACGAUGUCUACUAGUUGUCGGGUCUUAAUUGACUUGGUAACGCAGCUAACGCGUGAAGUAGACCGCCUGGGGAGUACGGUCGCAAGAUUAAAACUCAAAGGAAUUGACGGGGACCCGCACAAGCGGUGGAUGAUGUGGAUUAAUUCGAUGCAACGCGAAAAACCUUACCUACCCUUGACAUGGCUGGAAUCCUCGAGAGAUUGAGGAGUGCUCGAAAGAGAACCAGUACACAGGUGCUGCAUGGCUGUCGUCAGCUCGUGUCGUGAGAUGUUGGGUUAAGUCCCGCAACGAGCGCAACCCUUGUCAUUAGUUGCUACGAAAGGGCACUCUAAUGAGACUGCCGGUGACAAACCGGAGGAAGGUGGGGAUGACGUCAAGUCCUCAUGGCCCUUAUGGGUAGGGCUUCACACGUCAUACAAUGGUACAUACAGAGCGCCGCCAACCCGCGAGGGGGAGCUAAUCGCAGAAAGUGUAUCGUAGUCCGGAUUGUAGUCUGCAACUCGACUGCAUGAAGUUGGAAUCGCUAGUAAUCGCGGAUCAGCAUGUCGCGGUGAAUACGUUCCCGGGUCU
rnacentral:rRNA from 1 species